CAAUAUCAAUUUUUAAACCCAUUUUCAUACAUGGCAAGCAACAGUCUCUCAUUCAAUAUCCCACAAACUUUCACCGCAGAAAUUAUCAGGUUUGGUAAGUGAAAAUAAAAUCGUAUUUUGGAGCCUAUGAUUUAUAGAAUGUUGUAAUAGAAGAAAUAUCUUUACAACCACUGCCGACAAAUCUUAUCAUUACCCAAAUUAAAACUCCUUUAGAAGAACCUUCAAACAAGACAAAGUUAUUAAGAUUGUUUUUUAUGCGCAAAACGAAAAAAGAAAAAAAAGAAAGAAGAGCA
rnacentral:lncRNA from 1 species